rnacentral:rRNA from 1 species
CCUCGGGAGGCUGCAGUGGGGAAUAUUGCACAAUGGGCGCAAGCCUGACGCAGCCAUGCCGCGUGUGUGAAGAAGGCCUUCGGGUUGUAAAGCACUUUCAGCGGGGAGGAAGGCGUUAAGGUUAAUAACCUUGGCGAUUGACGUUACCCGCAGAAGAAGCACCGGCUAACUCCGUGCCAGCAGCCGCGGUAAUACGGAGGGUGCAAGCGUUAAUCGGAAUUACUGGGCGUAAAGCGCACGCAGGCGGUCUGUCAAGUCGGAUGUGAAAUCCCCGGGCUCAACCUGGGAACUGCAUUCGAAACUGGCAGGCUAGAGUCUUGUAGAGGGGGGUAGAAUUCCAGGUGUAGCGGUGAAAUGCGUAGAGAUCUGGAGGAAUACCGGUGGCGAAGGCGGCCCCCUGGACAAAGACUGACGCUCAGGUGCGAAAGCGUGGGGAGCAAACAGGAUUAGAUACCCGAGUAGUC